AACGAACGCUGGCGGCAGGCCUAACACAUGCAAGUCGAGCGAGGACUUCGGUCCUAGCGGCGGACGGGUGAGUAACGCGUGGGAACGUGCCCUUUGCUGCGGAAUAGCCCUGGGAAACUGGGAGUAAUACCGGAUGAGCCCUUUGGGGGAAAGAUUUAUCGGCGAAGGAUCGGCCCGCGUUGGAUUAGGUAGUUGGUGGGGUAAUGGCCUACCAAGCCGACGAUCCAUAGCUGGUUUGAGAGGAUGAUCAGCCACACUGGGACUGAGACACGGCCCAGACUCCUACGGGAGGCAGCAGUGGGGAAUCUUAGACAAUGGGGGAAACCCUGAUCUAGCCAUGCCGCGUGAGCGAUGAAGGCCUUAGGGUUGUAAAGCUCUUUCAGCUGGGAAGAUAAUGACGGUACCAGCAGAAGAAGCCCCGGCUAACUCCGUG
rnacentral:rRNA from 1 species